UGCUAAUCUGCGAUAAGCGCCGGUAAGGUGAUAUGAACCGUUAUAACCGGCGAUACCCGAAUGGGGAAACCCAGUGUGACUCGUCACACUAUCAUUAACUGAAUCCAUAGGUUAAUGAGGCGAACCGGGGGAACUGAAACAUCUAAGUACCCCGAGGAAAAGAAAUCAACCGAGAUUCCCCCAGUAGCGGCGAGCGAACGGGGAGGAGCCCAGAGCCUGAAUCAGCAUGUGUGUUAGUGGAAGCGUCUGGAAAGGCGCGCGAUACAGGGUGACAGCCCCGUACACAAAAGCGCAUGUGCUGUGAGCUCGAUGAGUAGGGCGGGACACGUGGUAUCCUGUCUGAAUAUGGGGGGACCAUCCUCCAAGGCUAAAUACUCCUGACUGACCGAUAGUGAACCAGUACCGUGAGGGAAAGGCGAAAAGAACCCCGGCGAGGGGAGUGAAAAAGAACCUGAAACCGUGUACGUACAAGCAGUGGGAGCCCCACCACCAAAGCAUUUGCUGUACCGCGUUGACGGAGCGAAGCGACGUCAAACCGAUAAAACAGCAGUGUAAAGUGAGCCGCAGGGCGCUUUGCGCGACAGCGCAAAGGCAGGCGGUUUCGCGUAGCGAAAGCGAAUGCUUUGGGGUGGGGUGACUGCGUACCUUUUGUAUAAUGGGUCAGCGACUUAUAUUCUGUAGCAAGGUUAACCGAAUAGGGGAGCCGGAGGGAAACCGAGUCUUAAUUGGGCGUUAAGUUGCAGGGUAUAGACCCGAAACCCGGUGAUCUAGCCAUGGGCAGGUUGAAGGUUGGGUAACACUAACUGGAGGACCGAACCGACUAAUGUUGAAAAAUUAGCGGAUGACCUGUGGCUGGGGGUGAAAGGCCAAUCAAACCGGGAGAUAGCUGGUUCUCCCCGAAAGCUAUUUAGGUAGCGCCUCGUGAAUUCAUCUCCGGGGGUAGAGCACUGUUUCGGCUAGGGGGC
rnacentral:rRNA from 1 species